rnacentral:rRNA from 1 species
CAUGGCGAACGGGUGAGUAACACGUGAGUAACCUGCCCUUAACUCUGGGAUAAGCCUGGGAAACUGGGUCUAAUACCGGAUAUGACUCCUCAUCGCAUGGUGGGGGGUGGAAAGCUUUUGUGGUUUUGGAUGGACUCGCGGCCUAUCAGCUUGUUGGUGAGGUAAUGGCUCACCAAGGCGACGACGGGUAGCCGGCCUGAGAGGGUGACCGGCCACACUGGGACUGAGACACGGCCCAGACUCCUACGGGAGGCAGCAGUGGGGAAUAUUGCACAAUGGGCGGAAGCCUGAUGCAGCGACGCCGCGUGAGGGAUGACGGCCUUCGGGUUGUAAACCUCUUUCAGUAGGGAAGAAGCGAAAGUGACGGUACCUGCAGAAGAAGCGCCGGCUAACUACGUGCCAGCAGCCGCGGUAAUACGUAGGGCGCAAGCGUUAUCCGGAAUUAUUGGGCGUAAAGAGCUCGUAGGCGGUUUGUCGCGUCUGCCGUGAAAGUCCGGGGCUCAACUCCGGAUCUGCGGUGGGUACGGGCAGACUAGAGUGAUGUAGGGGAGACUGGAAUUCCUGGUGUAGCGGUGAAAUGCGCAUAUAUCAGGAGGAACACCGAUGGCGAAGGCAGGUCUCUGGGCAUUAACUGACGCUGAGGAGCGAAAGCAUGGGGAGCGAACAGGAUUAGAUACCCUGGUAGUCCAUGCCGUA